AGCAGCGCCCAAAGCCGUCGCAGGCCUCAGCCCGCCCCGGAGAAGGGGCAACCCGGCGGGCGGCUCCGUGCGUGUGAAGCGCGACAUGGCGGCGAGGCCGACGAGCCCCGGGGGCCCCGACGUACGGCGAAGGGGGCGGGGCUAGAGCGGCCUUGGCAACCAUUAGAUGGCCUCGGGCUGGGCGGCUUGCAAACUACAUUUCCCAGAGGGCCCCGCGUGCCGCGGGACGGAAGGGGAAGCGCCUCGGGUGCAGUGCGCAGACGCGAGAGCUUCCUCUGGUUAUAUAAGAGCGGUCUGGAUCCCUUUUCGGUCUUUUCCGUCCUCGGCGCCUUCCUGCUAGUUUUCUCUGGGCUUCUGCUGCGUUCGAUGUUGUGCGGGCACCGGAGCCCGGGUUUGCUGCUCUGUGCGGUCUGCGCGAUCACAGGGUACGGAAUGGAUCUCGGAGGAGGGCGUCGCUGCUGGGCCUUCAAGAGAGCCCGCGGUACAUCCCUAGAGCCAUCGGUCUCCUGAUCUCCGGCAUUUAAUGUUGACAAGAGACUUCGAGUGGACCAGGAGUGGGAAGGAGUUGGUAAGUGAUGUCCACGUGGCUGAAUAGACACAGGAUCUGGAGAAUGGAUGAGAUUGUAACUCCUUUUAAAAAAGUAAUCCAUAUCCAGCAUGGGGCUCGUAUUCAUGUUCCCAAGAUCAAGUCGUACUUUUCCAACUGAGCCAGCCAUGUGCCCCUAUUUUUUAAAUACGGGACUGACAGAUUUAAACCGCUUAUGCUCUGCUGUAACUCAAAUUCGGCCAUUGCAACUGAUGACGUAACUUUUUUCCCCAUCAGAUCGACCCUGUUGAUCUAACUGAACCAUUAGCCAGUGUUUUGUCUGAUGCAUUGGCCCCAGAGAACUUUUAUCCCUGUCCCUGUAUUCUGCUUACCACUAAGGCUAUCUUCUAUGUGGAAUUUGGGCUUGGUUUGUGGGUACCCUCCCCCAGGAAUCAGGUCACUUAUCUUGGUUUUUAUCUGCUCACUUCCUACAGGCCUGGAGCCCUGUGAAGCCACAGGGCAGUAAAUAGAUGGCAGCCUGAUGUGCUUGGUUCAGUCUGUCCCGUUACAGGUGAGGUUUUUGCAAGUGGCAUUAUCUAAGUCAGCCCCUGUAGAUGUAAGAUGAUUAAACCACCCUCCCCAUAGAGUUGAGUUUACCUGUUCAGGAGUAACCUGGGAAACCAUUUCCCAAAUAGGUAUGUAAAACAGGAGAGUGAAGAGUAGGAUUGUUGACCUACUGGUACUACUAGGUCUUGGAAGAAAGAGGUAAAGAUGAACAGUUAAUUCUGCCUUAGAAAUAAGCUUCAGAUCACAUUUGGCUGGGAUUCUUUCCACCCUCCCCAUAGAGUUGAGUUUACCUGUUCAGGAGUAACCUGGGAAACCAUUUCCCAAAUAGGUAUGUAAAACAGGAGAGUGAAGAGUAGGAUUGUUGACCUACUGGUACUACUAGGUCUUGGAAGAAAGAGGUAAAGAUGAACAGUUAAUUCUGCCUUAGAAAUAAGCUUCAGAUCACAUUUGGCUGGGAUUCUUUUUUGUUGGUUUUUGUUUUUUAAAAAGAUUUUAUUUGUUAAUGAGAGAGAGGCAGAGACCCAGGCAGAGGGGGAGAAGCAGGCUCCACACAAGGAUGUGGGAUUUGGUCCGGGAACUGGGAUCACGCCCCAAGCCUAAGACAGACACUCAACCACUGAGCCACCCAGGUAUCCCACAGUUGGGAUUUAACAUGGCAGCAUGCUUGUAGAAUUUACCUUAUUUUGGUACUUGAUAGUAUCCCCCUCCCCCUCCCCAGUUCCUGAAGUCUUAAUUAGUUGGAGAUCUCCCACAUCCCAAACAAGGANCCCUCCCCAGUUCCUGAAGUCUUUUUUUUUUUUGUUUUGUUUUGUUUUUUAAAUUUUUUUUAAUUUUUUAUUUAUUUAUGAUAGUCACAGAGAGAGAGNAACCUUAUACAUCAGAAUUAAAGACUGAAUGUAAUCUUUUUCAGGAGUUUCUCAACUUUGGAGUUUGGAAUACAAGGCUUCUUGGAAAAGAUUGACUAUGCUUACCUGAGAAAGGGUGAUCUUGCUGAAUCCGUCUCCCAAAGCUUUUUUGUAAUCAAAUCCUCUAGAUUUCUCUGACCAUUUUGAAGAAUUAAGGAUUAUGGUUAAACUUGGUAAAAUUUUUAAUUUGUAUCUUUCCUAUCUGAAGAAAAUAAAAUUCUUUUUUUAAAUAAAAUUCUUUAAAUA
ensembl:lncRNA